GUGGGGAAUCUUGCGCAAUGGGCGAAAGCCUGACGCAGCCAUGCCGCGUGAAUGAUGAAGGUCUUAGGAUUGUAAAAUUCUUUCACCGGGGACGAUAAUGACGGUACCCGGAGAAGAAGCCCCGGCUAACUUCGUGCCAGCAGCCGCGGUAAUACGAAGGGGGCUAGCGUUGCUCGGAAUUACUGGGCGUAAAGGGCGCGUAGGCGGACAGUUUAGUCAGAGGUGAAAGCCCAGGGCUCAACCUUGGAAUUGCCUUUGAUACUGACUGUCUUGAGUACGGGAGAGGUGAGUGGAUCUCCUAGUGUAGAGGUGAAAUUCGUAUAUAUUCGGAAGAACACCAGUGGCGAAGGCGACUCACUGGCCCGUUACUGACGCUGAGACGCGAAAGCGUGGGUAGCAAACAGGAUUAGAAACCCCUGUAGUCC
rnacentral:rRNA from 1 species